rnacentral:sRNA from 1 species
UUUUUUUUUUUUUUUUUACUAUCAGUUAUUCCUGUUUUCUCAAGAAUUAAAUUUGUUUACUUUAGGUUCUUGCUCAGAACUCUGGUUUUGACCUUCAGGAAACAUUAGUUAAAAUUCAAGCAGAACAUUCAGAAUCAGGUCAGCUUGUGGGUGUGGACCUGAACACAGGUGAGCCAAUGGUAGCAGCAGAAGUAGGCGUAUGGGAUAACUAUUGUGUAAAGAAACAGCUUCUUCACUCCUGCACUGUGAUUGCCACCAACAUUCUCUUGGUUGAUGAGAUCAUGCGAGCUGGAAUGUCUUCUCUGAAAGGUUGAAUUGAAGCUUCCUCUGUAUCUGAAUCUUGAAGACUGCAAAGUGAUCCUGAGGAAUACAGCUGUGGAAUUUUUGUCCAAGCUUCAAAUAAUUUU